GUGGGGAAUAUUGGACAAUGGGGGCAACCCUGAUCCAGCAAUGCCGCGUGUGUGAAGAAGGUCUUCGGAUCGUAAAGCACUUUCGACGGGGACGAUGAUGACGGUACCCGUAGAAGAAGCCCCGGCUAACUUCGUGCCAGCAGCCGCGGUAAUACGAAGGGGGCUAGCGUUGCUCGGGAUUACUGGGCGUAAAGGGCGCGUAGGCGGCUCUGUUAGUCAGGCGUGAAAUUCCUGGGCUUAACCUGGGGACUGCGCUUGAUACUGCGGAGCUUGAGGCCGAGAGAGGGUGGUGGAAUUCCCAGUGUAGAGGUGAAAUUCGUAGAUAUUGGGAAGAACACCGGUGGCGAAGGCGACCACCUGGCUCGGUACUGACGCUGAGGCGCGACAGCGUGGGGAGCAAACAGGAUUAGAAACCCGGGUAGUCC
rnacentral:rRNA from 1 species